GCAGCGGUAGUUCAGUUGGUUAGAAUACCGGCCUGUCACGCCGGGUGUCGCGGGUUCGAGCCCCGUCCGCUGCGCCA
rnacentral:tRNA from 1 species